rnacentral:rRNA from 1 species
GUGUCAGCAGCCGCGGUAAUACGUAGGGGGCAAGCGUUGUCCGGAAUCAUUGGGCGUAAAGAGCGCGUAGGCGGUCCGGUAAGUCGGUUGUGAAAACUGGGGGCUCAACCCUCAGAGGCCGACCGAUACUGUCGGGCUAGAGUCCGGAAGAGGCGAGUGGAAUUCCUGGUGUAGCGGUGAAAUGCGCAGAUAUCAGGAGGAACACCAAUGGCGAAGGCAGCUCGCUGGGACGGUACUGACGCUGAGGCGCGAAAGCGUGGGGAGCAAACAGGAUUAGAUACCCCGGUAGUCC